UUAAUAAAUAACCCCUCCCAAAUUAAUAUUUAGAGCUGGGCCCUGUUUUUUCAAUGUUAAUUUUCCCAAGUAACUUGUAGUUCGUAUUGAAAUCCUCAGCCAGUAUUUUCACCAGAGGAUGUGUCAAAAUGCAGAUUCUGGAGUCCAAGAAUCCUUUUUCAGCCAGCUUCUGAGAUGGUCUCCCUUGAAUGCUUUCUUGGACUGCAUUUUCAGAGCCACUUUUAAAUGACAGUUACAGGAGAAGCAAAUGAAUGCCGUGAGAGCAUAAAACCAGCCGAGUGUAGGAUAUGCAGCAGGUUCAUCCAUCUUCUAAAUAAGGAGUGGCCCGAUAAUUGACGGUUACAUGUUGGCACAGCCAAGAGCCGUGGCCUGUCUUGCCCCAGCAUCCACACCUCUCUUAAAUUAUAUCUCUGGUGAAAAAACUGACGCCUAAAGAGAUUAAGACACUUGCCCGAGAUGACAUAAAGAGUACGUGGUGGAGCUCAACUCAAAGCAAGGCUGUUUGAGUGCAAAGCCCGUGCCCUUGGCAUCUACACUUUGCUACCUCCUGUCUCCUGAGGCAUCUCACAUAGGUUUUUCAGCAUCAUUCCUCAACGCUGCGAGCUCCACAGGUGGCAUCAGAGACAGCGGAGGACUCGCAAACGAGCUGGGCACUUUCCUGGGGACUCUUCCUUACAGCAGCUGCUCCAGGAUGAGGCCAGCCAUCUGUCUCCUAAUUCUGAAAAGAUUCCGACAAAUUUCCUGCACCAGAGAACUGGUUGUGGCAUGAGGCCUGGAGCCUGCAGUCUGGCCCAGUGAACACAGAAUAUCUUCUCUUGAGAAGACCCAGGAAAUUAACUCUGUUCCGUCUGCAUCAUGAACUAGUCAGCAGAGACUCUGACCUGGACCCACACUCUAGGGCCUGGCCAACUCGAUUAGGCUGCAGAGCGCCCCAGAAGGAUGACACAGCCACUUACCUGGGCAGGAACACGUCCAUUCUGGCUCGCCUGAGGCUAGAGGUCCAGAUGUGGAUGAUGCUGGCUGUGAGGUGUGGCUCAACGUGGCUCAGCGGGGUGUCUUUGUCACGCGGCAGAACCAAGAGCAGACUCACUGUGUUUCCCAGGGCCUUAGAUCCGUUCCCACAACUGCAUGUCAUAAGCCUGAGGGACAUUCAGAUGUGGCCUCUUUCAGAACCAUGCUGUCGAUUCGAGGAACACAGAGGAAAGGAGGAAAUCUGGAGCUGGAGCAGGGCCUCUCGCCCACUGGUGGGAACCCUAGCAAAGCUCCUGGUUGUCACGUAUUGGCUGGGAACACAGUGAGAACAAGACAGUGCUGAUGUGUCCCACUGCAGAUGUGGAUAGGUCUUCCUGUUGAUUAAACCAGAAAGAUGCCUCAAGACCCUGGCGUUGCUUUGGAUCCUGCUUUUUAUACAUUUUACUGGUCUGUAUUGACUUUUGAAAGGAAGGCUGGACCUAGGCAGGUAGUGGGCACUGCUGGGUUGUUUUAAACAGUGCACAUGAUUCUCUGAGCUCUGUUGGGUCAAACCAGACUUACAGGGGUACUCUCUUAACUGGAACUCUGGAAGUUGCACAUCCCUGUUCAUAAUAAUGAGCCACGGUUCUAUAAGAUAACAAAGCAGUUUAUGAGUAAGAAAAAUGGUGGGAUCAUGUUCCACAGAGUUUGACUGUUAAGCAUUCCUAACAUUUGGUAAUUCUCGAAUGGGGUCUAUGGAAACCCUGUUAAUCAUCAUAUUCGGUUAGCCAGGGACCCUGACUAUACCUGACAACAAAGAAUCAACUGGAAUCAGUUCCCUUUCUCUGGAGGAUAGCCACACUUGCAUUUCUCACUUUCCCCCCAGUUGUGACUUUUGUGAGUCUCUCUUUUAAGGCAGAAAUGCCUGUCUCUCUUUCACACGCUUAUUUGUUCUUCAUGACCCAGCUCAGAUGGCAUGUCUUCCGGGGCGUCUUUCUGUUCAGCCAGUGGAAUAAAUCAUUCCCUGCCCUGCGCUAAUUUAUGUCAAAUAAAUACACUUGCUGCACUGCACGAGGGUAUAUUUCUGUGUGCAUCAUUCCUGUGACACUGACCUGCUCGCGUUCAGAGCUUUCCUUAUCUGUCUGGAUGCUGAGUUCUUGAAUCGCAUCAUUCAAGAACUGAGUUCUUGAAUUGGCACUGCAGCCCAUCUCAUGUGGCUGAAGAAGAAGACCAGGGAUAUAUGCAUUUCUGUGAUAUUCUUGCUGAGAAAAAUCAAGCCGGCCAGCAGGGUCACGAGAGUUGUUUGGGCAGGGGACAGGAUGUGGAUGGGGCGUGGGGAACUGGACACAUGACUGUUGCCUUGUGACCUGGUGUCUUCAGCAUUAACCUUUACCUGCCACCCUGAGCUUCUAGCUCAAAGGAAGCUCUCCCCAGCACUGUGUUGGUAUUCGUUCUUGGAUUUCCUAAAACAUAUUGAUUUAUACAGUGCUAAUGCCCAUCCUUUUUUAUUGGUAUCUUAUUCUAAGAUAGAGAAGGAAAAGCGAUGUGCGUGAGUGUGUGUGUUCGCAUGGAGUUGGUAGGUUGGUUCCGGGGCCAGGAAUUGAGCCGGAGGCCCUGAGUGCAAGCUAGGUUGACCUCAACCUGGCUGACCUCAACCUGAGCUUGAGUCCCAAAUCUGCAACUUACUAGCUAUGUGACCUUGGGCAAGUCGUGUAAACUCUCUGUGCCUAUUGGCUCAUCUAUAAAAUAGGGAUGGGAGAGCCUGGGUGGUUCAGUUGGUUAAGCGUCUGACUCUUGGUUUCAGCUCAGGUCAUGAUUUCACAGUUUGUGGGUUUGAGCCCCGUGUCGGGCUCCUCGCUGACAGUGUGGAGCCUGCUUGAGAUUCUCUCUCCCUCUCUCUCUGCCCCUCCCCUGCUUGCUCUCUAUGUCUCUCUGUCAAAAUAAAUAAACUUAAAAAAAUAAAAUAAGGAUGAUGAUAUAAUUCCAUCACAAAUCCAGGGCUAGCAAUUCUAUGUGGUUUCUCUGAGCAUCAGAAGACAUAAUGGCGAUUUUGUUGUCGUAACAAUUAGAUUACUACUUGGAAGGUGCUUCGGACAUUUCCUGGCACCUGUUAGGCACUGCAGAAGGGCUUGUGACAUGAAAUUGGAAAAACUGCCAUGGAGGGGCCCCUGGAUGGCUCAGUCGGUUAAACGUCCAACUUUGGUUCAGAUCAUGAUCUUACGCUCCAUGAGUUCGAGCCCUGUGUUGGGCUGAGAGCCUGGAGCCUGCUUCGGAUUCUAUGUCUCCCUCUCUCUGCCCCUCCCCCCACUCGCGCUCUGUCUGUCUCUCUCUCAAAAAUAAAUAAAAACAUUAAAAAAUAUAUAAGAGGGGCGCCUGGGUGGCGCAGUCGGUUAAGCGUCCGACUUCAGCCAGGUCACGAUCUUGCGGUCCGUGAGUUCGAGCGCCGCGUCGGGCUCUGGGCUGAUGGCUCAGAGCCUGGAGCCUGUUUCCGAUUCUGUGUCUCCCUGUCUCUCUGCCCCUCCCCCGUUCAUGCUCUGUCUCUCUCUGUCCCAAAAAUU